rnacentral:tRNA from 1 species
UCCCAGAUAGCUCAGAUGGCAAAGAAUCUGCCUGCAAUGCAGGAGACCCAGGUUCGAUCCCUGGGUUGGGAA